UACGUAGGGUGCGAGCGUUAAUCGGAAUGACUGGGCGUAAAGGGUGCGCAGGCGGUUGGUCAAGACGGAUGUGAAAGCCCCGGGCUUAACCUGGGAGUGUCAUUCGUGACUGACGAACUAGAAUAUGGCAGAGGGAGGCGGAAUUCCACAUGUAGCAGUGAAAUGCGUAGAGAUGUGGAGGAACACCGAUGGCGAAGGCAGGUCUCUGGGCUGACACUGACGCUCAUGCACGAAAGCGUGGGGAGCAAACAGG
rnacentral:rRNA from 1 species